UACGUAGGGUGCAAGCGUUGUCCGGAUUUAUUGGGCGUAAAGAGCUCGUAGGCGGUGUGUCGCGUCGGCCGUGAAAACCUGGGGCUUAACUCUGGGCGUGCGGUCGAUACGGGCAUCACUGGAGUUCGGCAGGGGAGACUGGAAUUCCUGGUGUAGCGGUGAAAUGCGCAGAUAUCAGGAGGAACACCGGUGGCGAAGGCGGGUCUCUGGGCCGAUACUGACGCUGAGGAGCGAAAGCAUGGGUAGCGAACAGG
rnacentral:rRNA from 1 species